rnacentral:lncRNA from 1 species
AUCAUUUCAACCUUUCCAUUCAUUUUGUUCUCUCUUUCUUCAAUGUUCCCGUUCUUCCUUUUUUCUUUCCUUUUCUCUUUCUUCCGCUUUCCCACUCCUUUCCUUUUCUCUCUCUUCAAGGGGAGCCUUCACUAACAGCUAGACCGUGGCCUCAACUACUUCACCCACAGUGGUGAUCCUUAAAGCACCGACUUAUUCGAUGUUGGUGGAGGAAAAGUUGAAGCGAAAUUAAAUGAAAACGAUCUCCAGCAGGCGUCUUAUCGGCUUCUUGGCUUGUGAGAUCUCACUUCAUGGGGUCUUUGUUUCUGGUUUGUAGUGAGAACAUGUAUUUUUUUAUUAAGAUUUAAAUCUUUUUUCGUGCUUUCAUGUUCAUUUUAGUUUAUAAUAAAGAAGUUUAAUGUUUUUUAUUUUUGCAUUUCAUUUUUGG